rfam:Cephalotus follicularis DNA, scaffold: scaffold25, isolate: St1.
ACAAAGGUUCCUUUAGGAACCAAACUCUUCUUAACUUUAACAAAGU